rnacentral:rRNA from 1 species
GACGAACGCUGGCGGCGUGCUUAACACAUGCAAGUCGAACGGAAACGCCCUGCUUUUGUGGGGUGCUCGAGUGGCGAACGGGUGAGUAACCCGUGAGUAACCUGCCCUUGACUUUGGGAUAACUUCAGGAAACUGGGGCUAAUACCGGAUAGGAGCUCCUGCUGCUUGGUGGGGGCUGGAAAGUUUCGGCGGUUGGGGAUGGACUCGCGGCUUAUCAGCUUGUUGGUGGGGUAGUGGCUUACCAAGGCUUGGCCGGGUAGCCGGCCUGAGAGGGUGACCGGCCACAUUGCGACUGAGAUACGGCCCAGACUCCUACGGGAGGCAGCAGUGGGGAAGAGUGCACAAUGGGCGGAAGGCUGAUGCAGCAACGCCGCGUGCGGGAUGACGGCAAUCGGGUUGGAAUCCGCUUUCGCCUGUGACGAAGCGUGAGUGACGGUAAUGGGUAAAGAAGCACCGGCUAACUACGUG